rnacentral:rRNA from 1 species
GCAAGUCGAGCGCAGUCCUUCGGGACCGAGCGGCGGACGGGUUAGUAACGCGUGGGAACAUACCCUUCUCUAAGGAAUAGCCUCUGGAAACGGAGAGUAAUACCUUAUACGCCCUUUGGGGGAAAGAUUUAUCGGAGAAGGAUUAGCCCGCGUUAGAUUAGGUAGUUGGUGGGGUAACGGCCUACCAAGCCUACGAUCUAUAGCUGGUUUUAGAGGAUGAUC